rnacentral:tRNA from 1 species
AAAGGGUUAGUUAAAAAUAACCCUGGCCUGUCAGACCAGAAUUGUUGGUUGAACCCCAGCACCCUUUA